rnacentral:rRNA from 1 species
AUAAUGGGUCAGCGACUUAUAUUCUGUAGCAAGGUUAACCGAAUAGGGGAGCCGAAGGGAAACCGAGUCUUAACUGGGCGUUAAGUUGCAGGGUAUAGACCCGAAACCCGGUGAUCUAGCCAUGGGCAGGUUGAAGGUUGGGUAACACUAACUGGAGGACCGAACCGACUAAUGUUGAAAAAUUAGCGGAUGACUUGUGGCUGGGGGUGAAAGGCCAAUCAAACCGGGAGAUAGCUGGUUCUCCCCGAAAGCUAUUUAGGUAGCGCCUCGUGAAUUCAUCUCCGGGGGUAGAGCACUGUUUCGGCAAGGGGGUCAUCCCGACUUACCAACCCGAUGCAAACUGCGAAUACCGGAGAAUGUUAUCACGGGAGACACACGGCGGGUGCUAACGUCCGUCGUGAAGAGGGAAACAACCCAGACCGCCAGCUAAGGUCCCAAAGUCAUGGUUAAGUGGGAAACGAUGUGGGAAGGCCCAGACAGCCAGGAUGUUGGCUUAGAAGCAGCCAUCAUUUAAAGAAAGCGUAAUAGCUCACUGGUCGAGUCGGCCUGCGCGGAAGAUGUAACGGGGCUAAACCAUGCACCGAAGCUGCGGCAGCGACGCUUAUGCGUUGUUGGGUAGGGGAGCGUUCUGUAAGCCUGCGAAGGUGUG